rnacentral:rRNA from 1 species
AACGUAGGUUCCGAGUGUUAUCCGGAUUUACUGGGCGUAAAGCGCGUUCAGGCGGUUUGGCAAGUCGGGCAUGAAAUCUCUCGGCUCAACCGGGAGAGGUUGUCCGAUACUGCUGGACUUGAGGGCAGUAGAGGGUGGUGGAAUUCCGGGUGUAGUGGUGAAAUGCGUAGAUAUCCGGAGGAACACCAGUGGCGAAAGCGGCCACCUGGACUGCACCUGACGCUGACACGCGAAAGCUAGGGGAGCGAACGGG